CAUGCAAAGUAGGCUUCGCGGUAAACAGCACGGAGAAGAACCACAGAUGCACCAUGUCCCGGCUUCUCUGCCUUGUGCUGCCCUUCCUCUAUGGCUCCUGCAGGACUGAAAUUAUACAGUCUUCCAACCUAGCUGCCAUGAUCGGGACAGAUGGGACGUUUCAAUGCCAGUAUAAUAUUCUCGUUGGGAAUUAUGACUCUGUGUACUGGUAUCUGCAAAGAGCUGACCAAAGGCUCACCAAUAUCAACCAUAUAUCUCAAGGCACCAUGGAAUCGGAGCAUUACCUGUUGUCUGUGAACAGAGAGCUGUCCUCCAGUACCUUAACCAUUAAGCAUGUGCAGCCAAGAGACAAAGCCAUUUACUACUGUGCUUUCUGGCACCAUGAUACAGACUGUGCAUCACACUGAACAAA